UACCUACUCCCUCCGUUUCAAAAUACUUGAUUUCCAUUUGUUCAAAAAUGGAUGUAUCUAUAUACUAAAAAUGUCUAAAUAUAUCUAUAUUUUGACAAAACGAAGGCUAGUAUUGUGAAACGGUGGGAGUAAUUA
rfam:Triticum aestivum genome assembly, contig: Triticum_aestivum_CS42_TGACv1_scaffold_065786_1DL